rnacentral:sRNA from 1 species
CUAAUUGCCUACUUUGUUGUUCUU